GACCCGGGAUUCUGUUCCGAAGAGACGGACAUGUGUGACUCCAGGAAGUGCAAUAAGGAGGCUGUGGUUGAAGGGAGUGGGGGCUGCAGCCCACACGGCCCACGCUCUCUCCUGUCCCGAGUUCUAACAUCGAGAAGCUAGCUGCAUCCUGGGCAGACUUUGCUGGCCUGAGGACUUUUAAAACUGGUCUGCAUCAUAACUUGAAGUAAUUGUUCUUGUGAUUGAAGCUAACAACUAUAUAAUGCCUGCUAGGCAUAAUGCCAAGACAUGAUUUGAUUUCAGAAAUAGACCCUGAGGCAAGGAGUCAAGUAGAAGUGAAAUUUGGGGGAGAUGAUCCCAGGAAACACUUAUAGUGGAGUGCGGAAGUAAGACCAGGAAGGAAAGAGGCCAAUAAGGGUGUGUUCUUAGGCCAGUCAUCACUUCAGGCAACUGGAGCUUAUUCUGUCCAGGAAGCUGGGAUAUUUAUCCACCAAAUACCCUCUGUCCUUGGUUGAUUCCAGGGGCACCAACAUCCUAAUGCAUUGAUUUGCUCCAGGAGUGCUGACCCAUCUGCUGAAGCCAGAAAAUAUCCCGGUGAGGGCUUUUUUUCUCCCCCUUCCCGUUUCUUCCACGAAGAAUGGAAGUUUGUACAAGAAAUGCAUCAUUCUCUAAAACCAAACAGCAAAAAGAGAAACAAAAUGCAAAAGAAAAGAGGGGCAUGUUUUUGAGCUUCAUCAGAAAGUGGGAGUCUUUGCUGUCCGCCGGCUACCGUGGAGCUGAUGGAGAAGGGGAAGAAUGGACCAGGCCUUCCCUCCCUGUCUGCCUCCCUCCCUGCAGACAAUCAGCUGACCUCCGAAGCCCGACUCUUGAUGACCCAUGUCAUUUCUUUAGGCGACUUUGCUGGGGCUACGGUAGAAUCAUGAAAUCAUUCAGACCUUUAAAAAGAUUAAGAAAAGGAGGCAGAGAGAAGUUAAGAGAGUUAUCCAAGGUCACCAGCUACCAAGAGCACCAGUGAGAGCUGAACUCGAGCUUGAUGUCGGUGUGUACACAAUUAGCCA